UAAGCAUAUCAAUAAGCGGAGGAAAAGAAACCAACAGGGAUUGCUCUAGUAACGGCGAGUGAAGCAGCAAUAGCUCAAAUUUGAAAUCUGGCGUCUUCGACGUCCGAGUUGUAAUUUGUAGAGGAUGCUUCUGAGUAACCACCGACCUAAGUUCCUUGGAACAGGACGUCAUAGAGGGUGAGAAUCCCGUAUGCGGUCGGAAAGGUGCUCUAUACGUAGCUCCUUCGACGAGUCGAGUUGUUUGGGAAUGCAGCUCUAAAUGGGAGGUAAAUUUCUUCUAAAGCUAAAUAUUGGCCAGAGACCGAUAGCGCACAAGUAGAGUGAUCGAAAGAUGAAAAGCACUUUGGAAAGAGAGUUAAAAAGCACGUGAAAUUGUUAAAAGGGAAGGGAUUGCAACCAGACUUGCUCGCGGUGUUCCGCCGGUCUUCUGACCGGUCUACUCGCCGCGUUGCAGGCCAGCAUCGUCUGGUGCCGCUGGAUAAGACUUGAGGAAUGUAGCUCCCUCGGGAGUGUUAUAGCCUCUUGUGAUGCAGCGAGCGCCGGGCGAGGUCCGCGCUUCGGCUAGGAUGCUGGCGUAAUGGUCGUAAUCCGCCCGUCUUGAAACACGGACCAAGGAGUCUAACAUCUAUGCGAGUGUUCGGGUGUCAAACCCCUACGCGUAAUGAAAGUGAACGGAGGUGAGAACCGCAAGGUGCAUCAUCGACCGAUCCUGAUGUCUUCGGAUGGAUUUGAGUAAGAGCAUAGCUGUUGGGACCCGAAAGAUGGUGAACUAUGCCUGAAUAGGGUGAAGCCAGAGGAAACUCUGGUGGAGGCUCGCAGCGGUUCUGACGUGCAAAUCGAUCGUCAAAUUUGGGUAUA
rnacentral:rRNA from 1 species